rfam:Brachypodium distachyon strain Bd21 chromosome 2, whole genome shotgun sequence.
UCUGUACUUCCUCCAUUUCAUAAUUCUUGUCAAAAUAUUACAUGUAUCUAGACACUUUUUAGGAAUAGAUACAUCCAUUUUUUAGUCAAAUUGGAGACAAGAAUUAUGGAACGGAGGGAGUACAGU